rnacentral:tRNA from 1 species
GCCCUGGUGGCGAAAUUGGUAGACGCAAGGGACUUAAAAUCCCUCGCCUUAACGGGCGUGCCGGUUCGAUUCCGGCCCAGGGCACCA